ACUGGAGAUGUCAUUGGUCAGGAAACACAGUCCCUCUGCUAAGCUGGAAAAGGGGAUAUUUAUUUAUUUUUGUGAUUGCAGAGUGUCCUUAUCUCUUUCCUGUUUCAGACAUAGUUAUGGAGUAAUCUCGUCUCCAAUUUGUUCUAUCAUAGGUAACGGAGUAGCCUUGUCUGGUUAUUGCUGAUACUGUAAAAAAGUGUUUAUAUUCCAUCAUCCUGACUUUUAGCUUCCAGCUAUUAGGACGAUUUUUUUCACGUUUUCACACCAACCUCACAGACUUAUUGUGAAGAUCAAAUAUAAUUAUGUAACAGCAUAUGAAAAUUCAGAGAAAUGUUUUUGGCAUGUAGCAACAUCUCAUGCAGAUUUUCUGGUUGGUCUUCACAUGGUUGCUCACAGGCUAUCGUGUGGCCCUGGAGUGUGGGGCCAUGGAGUCCUCUGCUGGAUCCUUGGCAUUUGACAGACAGAAAGGGAAAGAGAAUGAGAAAGAGAGGAGAACCCAUGGGAGGUUUUCCUGGAUCAAGCUUCAAAGUUGUGAACUGGCUAGUUACAAGAAUUCUCACAUUUCAUUUUCCAGAUCUCAGCCACAUGACCGUAUCUGAUUGUAAGGGAGGCUAGGAAAUGUAGUUUAGAGUGAAUGUUUGUGUCCCCUCAAAACUCAUAUGUUGAAACCUAGUCCCCAGUGUGAUGUUAUUUGGAGGUGGGGACUUAGAGGUGAGAAGUCCCAUGAAUGGGAUCAGUGUCCUUAUAAGUGAGACCCCAGAGAGCUCCCUGGCCCCCUCCAGCGUGUGAGGACACAGCCAUAUCAAAUCUGCCAGCGCCUUGAUCUUGGACUUCCCAGCCUCCAGAAUGGUGAGAAAUAAAUGUCUGUUGUUUAAGCC
rnacentral:lncRNA from 1 species